rnacentral:rRNA from 1 species
GGAUUGGCAUUAUGCAGCUGUGAGUCUAGCCAUCAAAUACCUCAUUAUAACAGCCUCUGUUUAUUAGAUCUUUCCUUUUUCUUGGAUAACUGUGGCAAUUCUAGAGCUAAUACAUGCAACAAAACUCCGACCGUAAGGGAGGAGUGCACUUAUUAGAACAAAACCAAUCCAGGUUCCGCUCUGCGGUUGAUGACUCUGAAUUAUUUUGCCGAUCCAACGGGCUUUGAACCGGCCACUUUUCUUUCAAAUGUCUGCCUUAUCAACUUUCCAUGGUAAUAUAUAGGACUACCAUUGUGAUAACGGGUAACGGAAAAUUAAGGUUUGACUCCCGAAAAGGAACCUGAAAAACCGCUACCACAUCCCAAGAAAGGCACAGGGCCCCCAAUUACCCACUCUCCGCAAGAGGAAGUAAUGACCAAAAAUAACGUGGAGGCUCUCUACCAAGGCCGGCCACCGAAUGGACACCAUUUAAAUCCUUUAAUGAAGAACCAUUGGAAGGCAAGUCUGGGGCCCACCACCCCGGUAAUUCCAGCUCCCAUAACGUAUAUUAAAGUUGGUGCGGUUAAAAAGCUCGUAAUUGGAUCUGUGGUCAUGUGAAGUGGUCGCCCAGUGGGUUGUUACUGCGUUCACAGGCCAAAUUUUUCUAGCGUACCUCUUGGUGCUCUUCACCGGGUGUCUUGGGUUGCUAGUAUGUUUACUUUGAAAAAAUUAGAGUGCUCAAAGCAGACGCUUGAUUCAAUAUUGGUGCAUGGAAUAAUGGAAUAAGAACUUGAGUCCUUUUUGGUGGUUUACCGUCACCAGGUGAUGAGUAUGAGAGACACACAGGGGCAUUCUCAUUGUCACGUUCUAGGUGAAAUACUUGUAUACUCCCAAAACGAACUACAGUGAAAAAUUGCCCCAAAAAUGGGGA